CAUGCAAGUCGAGGGGUAACAGAAAAAAGCUUGCUUUUUUGCUGACGACCGGCGAACGGGUGCGUAACACGUAUGUAACCUACCUAUAACUGGGGAAUAGCCUACUGAAAAGUGGAUUAAUACGCCAUAAUAUGUAUUUAAGGCAUCUUUUAUACAUUAAAGCUUUGGCGGUUAUAGAUGGACAUGCGCAACAUUAGCUUGUUGGUGAGGUAACGGCUCACCAAGGCAACGAUGUUUAGGGGGUCUUAGAGGAUGAUCCCCCACACUGGUACUGAGACACGGACCAGACUCCUACGGGAGGCAGCAGUGAGGAAUAUUGCGCAAUGGAGGAAACUCUGACGCAGCCAUGCCGCGUGCAGGAAGACGGUCUUAUGGAUUGUAAACUGCUUUUGUAUGCCAAGAAACCUUAGUACGUGUACUAAGCUGACGGUAGCAUACGAAUAAGGAUCGGCUAACUCCGUGCCAGCAGCCGCGGUAAUACGGAGGAUCCAAGCGUUAUCCGGAUUUAUUGGGUUUAAAGGGUCCGCAGGCGGAAAAUUAAGUCAGUGGUGAAAUCCUACAGCUUAACUGUAGAACUGCCAUUGAUACUGGUUUUCUUGAGUACAAAUGAGGUGAGUGGAAUGUGGCGUGUAGCGGUGAAAUGCAUAGAUAUGCCACAGAACACCAAUUGCGAAGGCAGCUCACUAACAUGUAACUGACGCUGAGGGACGAAAGCGUGGGGAGCGAACGGGAUUAGAUACCCCGGUAGUCCACGCCGUAAACGAUGAUCACUCGAUGUUGGCGAUAUACUGUCAGUGUCUGAGCGAAAGCAUUAAGUGAUCCACCUGGGGA
rnacentral:rRNA from 1 species